UGGCAGGUUUGGUCCUCCAUAGAGGUGAACUCUAGUUCUCAACAAUUUGGACCACAACUUCACCAGAGUUCAGAGCACAAAGACAAAUUGAUGAGGAAAUUACUCAAACUAAGCACCUAAGCGUCAAAGGAAGGACAAGGAAGCCAAACGCAAAAGGCAGACACCGACCGGGCACUCAUACACUCUCCUCAGCACUGGAACCAAUCCGGCAAAGAAAAGGAGAAAGGUUGCUGACGGGACAAGGGAUCUUCUCCCAAUGGAGAAGAUCACAGAAAGGGAAAAUAAGGCUAAGGAAGAGGAGGAAGAGGAUAUUAAGGCUCUUAAAAAUAGAGGUGAAACAGUUGAAGGUCCAAAACCAGGAACUGAAAACCCUGAACAUUGUCUCUGCAGAGAGGUAUGUAAUUGCUAUAGGCAUGUUUGUGUUGUUAUUAAGGAAUCAUCUGAAUGUCUCUCUCUUCUGUCUGUCUCUCACUCCUUUCAAAAGAGGUUUAUUUUUUAUCUGUUUUUCAAUCUCAUGAGUAGCCUUGCUUCUAAAACUUGAAGUUGUGCCCCAGCCUCUACACUCUCAGGUCACUGCCCAACCACUUACAAAGGUAAGUGCUUAAUUAGCCAUUCAGAAAUUGUACUUGUCAUCUUUCAACGUUGAACAGUGCUAAGAUAUUAGUGUAUGAUUAUGUUAACAUUUAUACAGCCAGGACCAUCGGCAGAGGGGAUUACCCCUUUGGGCAUAAGUAAUGCCAUGCUGCGGGCCUGCGGUAGAGGUGGCACCUCCAAGCACAACCAUGGUUAAAGAGCUGGCUGUGGCUGUGUUUGGGAGACAGGUGAUUGCUACCCAUAGAUUAUCUGCAAAAAUUGGAAAUGCCAAUAAAGGGACUUCAGCAAAGCCGGGCCUUGAUGAGGGAAAAGUCAAACUGAUAAUUGGAACUGUGCAAAACAAGUUUCCAGAUAUACCCCCCAAAUUCAUCCGAGCAGCACUGAGGGAGAAGAUGAACGAUAAACUUCACAUCAAGUAUAGGUUUACAUACUUUCUUGUCAUGUAUAGGUGUGUUUUCAGUGUUAAUAUACACAUUUCUUCUGUGUUUUCAGACAAAAAAUACUUACAUGGCCAUUGUUUCCCUUAACUCCAAAUUACCCCUUUUAUUCAGUUAUAGUAUAACCCCUCCUAUACUCCGCGUCCUAAAUUUUCCGGGAGGGGUCAGCUUUUUUACUUUUUCAUCUGGAACGGAGCCUUGUGUGGAACGCUCCAUAACACCUGAGCUUUGUAGUGUUGUCACUUCAAUGAGGCCAUUUGCAUGGUUCGGACCAAUGAGAUGCGUUUAAAAAAAAUUAGGAUAGAGAGAAAAGAUGAUCAAUAUUUAAUAAAAAGUGUUUAAUCGUGCAUAGGCUAAUCCUUACUCAUGUGACUGAGUUGACAGCCUAGUAGUAAUACCACAUAUAUGGGCUUAAUAACGAUCAAGUUUGUUUCUGUUCCAAGUAUGACCCCAUUUCAUUGAGUUGGAUUCAUGAUAACAAGUAACCGUUAGGUCAUACUUACUAUUUCCUUUGUCACAGUUCCUCAUGCACACACACAAAGCGUUUCUGCUGUUACAUCCUGUGAACUCUGCCCCUCUCAUCUCUUUCCCCAGUUAGAAACGAGCCUAUGAACAACAGUGAGACUGACAAACGCAGGCAACAGCACUGGACAGCCAUGCAGGCGAAGACAGGGCCUUUAAACAACAGUGAGACGGACUACCCCAGAAGGCAGCACUUGACAGCCAUUGCCAGUGAAGGAAUCAUAUUUUAUGCAGUGCUGGUGAAAUGGACAAUCAGACAUGUCAGCUGUUGUUUCAUUGGAUGUCUUGUGGAAUCUGUCCAUUCUUUUGAAAUAAUGUGGAUUGUCCUGCAUGUCCAGGCCUGCUCUGAAAUUAAAUAGGUAUGAUAUCAGGCUCCUAUUGCACAGCAAUACUGUAGCCUACCCAUACUGUAAAAUAUUUGUUAUAUUUACAGGUCUAUUUUACUUUCGAGCAUGGUUGGCUAUUGAAUGAGCGAUGUUAAGACAGUACACAUAUUUUCCCAGGUUUUUAAGUCCGACCCCCCCCCCCCCCCCAUUAAAUCAAGUUAAGGAGGAAACCAAUGUCUUUGCCGCCUGAAUGGAGGAUGUUUUAUGUACGAACCGGACGCGGGGGUUAGGAGUGUAUUGCACAAGGCCAGACGAUGUAAACCUUGGCAGAACCAUUGGGGCUAGUAGACAGCUGUACAAAACACAAGUUACACACAUAUUUUAAAACACAGACACAUUUUAUGAUUAAAAACCAGACUGGAUUUGGUUAAAAAUGUUACAUAUAAAGAAACUGCAUUGGUAGACAAAAUAUUAAAUAAAUAAAAGCAAAAAGGACAUCGGACAAAAAGUUGUUUCGUUCUCCACAGUCUCCAUUGACAAUAAUCACAUUUGACAUUAAUACUGUUGAUAAAUUAAUACAGUUAAAAUAACUGUUAAUAGUUGACAUUUUCAGUACGUCUAAAUGUGUAUGUGUGUAUGUUUAUAAAUGCAUGCAGGUGUUACAGAUUAACCAUGGCAGAAUGAGCCAGGAUUCAAAUGAUCCUUUUCAUUUUGCAUGUGGAGUUUUAGUUUGAGUUGAUACUAAAUCCAAGGUUGGGGUAUGCAGUUUUGUUCAGUUUUCAUUUGACAAAGAGUGUAUGUUAAUUUGAGGUUAACUUUAAGCUAGUUCUUUUUUCAUUUUUUUUUUAGUUAGGCCUACUGUUAAAUUGACAUGACAGGAUACAAAAACAACAUAAAAACAAAGCAUGAUUAGAGAAUACUUCUAGUUGCAGACCCACUGUUCCACACAAAAAAUCUACACCUAACACAGAGCCAUGCCUUCCCUCUGCUCUCCAACCAUGCACCAAAUACACUUGCACUAACACAGAGGUCAGACAAAUUCCAGCACAUAACAAUCUCUAGUACAAUGCAUGCUCUCAU